UAUCGUGAAUUUCACUACGGCAUUCUUUGUUGAAGAGGUAGCGUUCAUUCUUAGAUGAAUGAAUUGCUGUUUUUAAGGAUCAAUCUUUGAUGUCAUGCAGACUACAGUUUCUUCACGGUGUUCUUUGAGGUAUUUUUUUUUAUUUAUUGCUGGUAUGCUAUGAAUCUUCUGUUUAAUUUAGUAGUCAACUGAUUUCCCUAUCUUUUUCAAUGCAAGUUUUCUCUUAGCAGCUCCCGUUCCUUCUGUCAUAUCGAUCGUUCAGCGGAUCUUGAUUGGAAGUUUGGAACAAAAAAAAAUCCUAACCUGUGUCUUCCCGUGUGCUUCACUUAAUUGCAUUGCUUUGCAACAGAUUAAUAGCCGGUUUAGUACUAGAGCUAUAUAUGUUGUCAAUCUUCACCGUGCAUCAAAUCGAUUUCAGCAGCUCGAUCAAUUUGAAAAGCGGUCUCGUAUGGAUAUCGAGUUCCACUUAGUUUCGGAGCAUCAUAGUGCUGGAUUGCAAUUACUACAUAGAUCUGAUCGAUCUCAUCUAAUCACCUUGAUUGGCUAUUGGAUUGGAAUUGUUUCAAAAAAAUUGCUACAAAUUAUGGUAGAAAAUCAUAUAUCAUGAUGGAUGUUUCAAUUUACAACUCUGCAGACCAGCAAUGGUGUUGUUAGCUAUAAAGACUAAUUUACAAUGAGUGAUUUUCUGGGUGUGAAUGAGUACACCUAGAGUAACUACAACAUCUAUGUUGGGUGAGAUUUU
rnacentral:lncRNA from 1 species